rnacentral:rRNA from 1 species
AGCGAACGCUGGCGGCAGGCUUAACACAUGCAAGUCGAGCGGGCCCUCCGGGGUCAGCGGCGGACGGGUGAGUAACGCGUGGGAACGUGCCCUCUGGUUCGGAAUAACUCAGGGAAACUUGAGCUAAUACCGGAUACGCCCUUAUGGGGAAAGGUUUACUGCCUGACGAUCGGCCCGCGUCAGAUUAGCUUGUUGGUGGGGUAACGGCCUACCAAGGCGACGAUCAGUAGCUGGUCUGAGAGGAUGAUCAGCCACACUGGGACUAAGACACGGCCCAGACUCCUACGGGAGGCAGCAGUGGGGAAUAUUGGACAAUGGGCGCAAUCCUGAUCCAGCCAUGCCGCGUGAGUGAUGAUGGCCGUAGAGUUGUAAAGCUCUUUUAUCCGUGACGAUAAUGACGGUACCGGAGGAAUAAGCCCCGGCUAACUUCGUG